UCUGUGGUUCAAAGAUCAAACACAUGGUGUCCAGCUGAGUGGACAUGUUUGCAAUUCCAUGAAAAAUAGGUACACAAGAAAAAUUUCAAUUGCACAGUUAAUUUCAUGCCAAAAGAGAAAUACAAAACGCCUUGGAAAAAAAAAUCUUGAAUGAGGUUCUCAUAAUUCAUGCAUGAAAGGGUAUAUAUGAUCUUGGAG